rnacentral:lncRNA from 1 species
CCCGUUCCGCAUACUGCUUGGUUUCGGUGACUAUACUACUGCUGACAGAAGCGCUGCCGACUCAAGUCACAGUCAUGAUGCCGCUUUUUCUCUACAUGGAACUCGAGUUCUUCGGGGAGGUGACUGACUACUUCCCGGAAAACUGUCGGUGCCUGAAGAAGAUCGACUAGAUGUAAGGGAAAUAUACUUUUGGAAGAAAGAGCGUUAUCACACUAUACAUAAGAAGCUUCUUCUCAGUGUGGUCAUCAUGUGUGCUCUGGCAUCUAUAAUGAACCUGACGAGCAAUGAAGGUAACCUGGAAUUUUUGCUUUACUUCAAGAGGAAUUUUGGUCAAGAUUCCAUCAUAUCGGCGCAAAGCUGGUGGAUGCUCUUCCUCCCCAUGGAGCUCCUUGCCUUCGGGCUCCACUGGCAGUUCAUGUGGAUCACGUUUCUUCACCACUUUGAUGCGCCUCAGUCGGUGGCGACGAGAGUUGCC